rfam:Ornithorhynchus anatinus chromosome 17, whole genome shotgun sequence.
AGCAGCGUGGUUCAAUGGAUAGAGCCUGGGCUUCAGAGUCAGAGGUCAUGGGUUCAACUCCCAGCUCUGCCA